UCUGAAAAUCAGAUAAUGAAGUUCAAGAUCAGCAAGGCCUGCGAUCUGAGCUCCAUUUCUGUCCUUCCACCACAUUCUAGGAGAGGAAAUGCAAUCCCACCAGGAGCAGAUACUUCAGUUUUUGGUAAAAGCCAAGGUUCUUCGUAGUUCCGGUCGCAUUCGCAACAGUCAUUUUCACAGGGCAUGUCAAUGUCUCAGCUCUCACGGAAUUCUCAAGAGGAAAUUGUGACAAAUGAACAUAGAUUUGGUUCUCAAGACAAGUCAUUGAAGAGGAUUUCUUGCUUGGCGCCUAUUACUUACACGCGAGAAGAUACACA